AAUAGAUACCCGGGUAGUCCACGCCGUAAACGAUGAGUGCUAAGUGUUAGAGGGUUUCCGCCCUUUAGUGCUGCAGCUAACGCAUUAAGCACUCCGCCUGGGGAGUACGGUCGCAAGACUGAAACUCAAAGGAAUUGACGGGGGCCCGCACAAGCGGUGGAGCAUGUGGUUUAAUUCGAAGCAACGCGAAGAACCUUACCAGGUCUUGACAUCCCACUGACCGGUAUAGAGAUAUACCUUUCCCUUCGGGGACAGUGGUGACAGGUGGUGCAUGGUUGUCGUCAGCUCGUGUCGUGAGAUGUUGGGUUAAGUCCCGCAACGAGCGCAACCCUUGAUCUUAGUUGCCAGCAUUUAGUUGGGCACUCUAAGGUGACUGCCGGUGACAAACCGGAGGAAGGUGGGGAUGACGUCAAAUCAUCAUGCCCCUUAUGACCUGGGCUACACACGUGCUACAAUGGAUGGUACAAAGGGCUGCAAGACUGCGAAGUCAAGCCAAUCCCAAUAAAACCAUUCUCAGUUCGGAUUGCAGG
rnacentral:rRNA from 1 species